CCCCCAAGCCGAGCGCGCGUGCAGAGUGAAACAAUGGGAGGGAAAAGAGAGAGAAGUCGACAAGUCGUGACUGCCAUCAUCGAAUCACGAAUAAUCCUACGACGAAUCCUCGAUGGAUUACCAGGGAACUUAGAAGUGGAUCAUAGAAGUUGGAGGGCGCAAAAGUGAGCCGACUACCAUGAAUUCCUCACUGAACUCCAUGACACCGAUGUGGGCUGCAAGAACCCGUGGCCAGUUCUCUACAUGGUGCAAUGCAAUCGCAGGUAAGAAACUAUCCGUGAAGUUCGCCUUGUCGUUCUCUACGUGUAGCACCGUUUAUCGUGGAGUUUGGCGCGCUGUGGCCGGUGUCAGCCAUGCGACAUCGAGGUGCGCCGCCGCCGCGAUGUGGGCGCCGCCCGACGUUGGUUAGCUAGGAGGGAGAACAGCUCCUGACCAUCGAUCCGGCCCUGAUCAAACCAGAUUAGAAGAUGGCAUACUUGUUCGCGUUAAUGCGUUAUAGAUCCCAGUCAUCGAUCUCAGAUCAAGUGGGUCUGAUCCAGUUGGCAAUGUUUUGGAUCUGGGCCAAGGAUCCUGGAUCCCACGGUCCAGA
rnacentral:lncRNA from 7 species